rnacentral:lncRNA from 1 species
AUUCAUUGAUUGUUAUGAAAUCAUUGAGAUUGAUCAUCUGGAACAAUGACAUGAUCCGCUAGUAACCAAAGUACCAAGUGUAUAAUUUAAAAUCAAAGAGUUGAAUUUUAUUAGUAAUGUAAUAAACAGGAAGACGAUAACAAAUACAUGAAACAAAGUUGUUACAUAAUAGAAUUCAGAGUCAUUAAUCUGGAACACAGAAUGCAAAACACACCAUAAUCACAACCAAAACAGCAAGAUCAUGCCACCUCUUUAAGGACGAAGAAUGAAAUGGCAACACCCACAAAUCCGACGAGCAUGGAUUCAAAUGAAGCCAGCCCAUUAGAACUAUUGGUACCAGGAGGAGGAGCAGCAGCAGGGGCUUGUGCAGCAACUAGUAAUGCUGCUGCAAAUGCAGAGCAAAUGGCAAAGACAAAAGCUAUGUUUGAUUGUUGAAUUGUGAUCUUCAACUAGAGCUAGCUAUCUUGAUGAUUUAGCAGAGCAAGUUAGUUAUGGUUUGAUACAUGUCAUGUGUUUC